GAUUUCUUUAAGACUGCAAGGGAAGCUCAGCUUCCCCUAUAAUUGUUAAAAAUUGAAUGGUCAAAUAUUUGUACUAUUAUGUUAACUUUGUAUUGACUAAAAAUGCGUUAAACACGUUCAUCUCGAACGAAAACAAUUUCGUUCAGAAUCAGCUACUUAGGUCGGCUGACUUGAUUUCCUUCUCAUUCAUUCCCGUAGCGUACAGUGCAUUACUCUGUUGAAGCCCAGCGUCCAUUGACUUCAAUGGGGCGCUUUAAACAGUUUUUUUUCAGUGCUUAGAAACAAGACGGUCAUUGGAUAAUGCUGCGAUUAUGUCCCGCCCACGGACGCUCAGCGUCUCUGGGAUGAAUGGAGGAGUGGGCUGGCCCGGACUCCGAGCGUCUGCGUGAUGAUUGGAGGGACUUUUAUUUCCUAAAACGCUCGUUUUUUGGGGUCGACAGCUUAUAAAAACGUAUUUCUUGUUUUUUUAGCUUGUUUGCUAUACACAUUGUCACAUAUCAGCUUUUAGACAUUGUUUUUUUUUGUUAUAAAUCAUAAUUGACAAGUAGGCGGCAGCUUCUCGCAAUGCAAAAAGACGGUUGUGUGGGCGUGGGCGUGGUCGUCAGAUUAUGACGCGUAUCACUCUGUGUCUCCGUUUCCAACUCAGUUUUUAUGAUUUAGGCCGAAAAUGAGCUUCCCCUCUUUAAAAGAUCAGCAGCCGCCACUGUAAUGUACAUAUAUUUUUAAUGUAUAAGAGUAAGAGUUCGGAGAAAAUUUAUAAUUUGAUUAAUUAUGUAUGAAAAUACAAAAAGAAAACCAGGCAAAUAAUAAACCUAACACCCAAACACACACACAAACUAAUAUACAUUGCUUUUAGCCUUUGAAGAUGCAUGUAAAAGAACAAAAAUUUGUGCAACCUUUCCUUUUAAUUUGUUAUUUUAUUUUAAUUUAUCCCCUGUUUAGUGUAGCUACUUCUUCUUAUUCUCUGUUUUAUUACUCUAAAAAAUGCUGGGUUAUUUCUGUAAACACAUUUUUGGGUUAAUUGUGCUGGGUCAUAAUUUUGGGUUGUUUGAGGUACUGUAAACACACAGUUGGGUUGCUCAUGCUGGGUCAAAUGGACUGUAGGGGUUAUUUCACCACUGAACAGCUGGGUUAGGUUAUUUUGACCCAACCGGUUUGUUCAUUUUACCACUUCAUCGAACCUUCUGGAUCCUUCACGCGUCUCCUUGUCAGACGGCAACACACAUCACAGCAAGCUGAUUUUAUAAGGUGGGGACUUUAAUGGUGGAAUACUCGCAAAAUGCAGAGAACAGUGAUGUAUUCUGCACAUUUUGUGCCUUUGGGAGGAGGCAGCAACGACAUCCCAGACUUUCACCAUUGUUUCAGGACAUGCCAUUGAAAAACUGACUUGUUGCUCAGUUGAUCUGUUUCAAGUCCUUUUCUGUGCUUGAUGUUAACUAAGCAGUCUCUUCCUACUUAGAAAUUUCUCCAGCAUGCAGUUUAUCGUAUUGAUGGACAUGAGUCUUCAUGUGGGAAGUUUUUGAGGACAAAAGUUUUUUUCUGGGCACUUGUAACAUGCUUUAAGUUGUCACAUG